rnacentral:tRNA from 1 species
GCGCCCGUAGCUCAGUUGGAUAGAGCGUCUGCCUUCUAAGCAGAGGGUCGCAGGUUCGAAUCCUGCCGGGCGCGCCA